rnacentral:lncRNA from 1 species
GCCCUGACUUCUCAUUCUACACCCACCUCUCAUCUUUGCCACACCCAUUCUUAACUCCUUCGUCCUCACUCAGAGGGAAAGAGGACUUUUCCUCUCUGAGGUUUAAGGAUCAUCCUCCAGGAUUGUGAUCUUGCUCUAACCUAUAUUUAGAUCCUUUCCUUCCACUAGCUUCUUCCUCUCAGCCUAAAUUAACAAAGCUGUUCAAGUCAGGACUCUCACCUGCAAGUGACAGACUCCCAACUCAAGCUAGCUUAGUGUAUGAGUGAGCUGUCUCUCCCAGGAAGUCAAGGUCCAGGCAUCAAGAUUCGGCCUCACAAGGCCAAACACAGGCUGAAGAUGAAAACCAACCAGAGAAGUCCAGACAGUGAAGGGAAAAGAAAUAAUUCAGUCUUCAAGGCCAAACACAGGCUGGUGGGAAGGCGUCAACCAGCAAGGCCACAUGUUCUCCCCCUCCCGUCCUAAAACCCCAGCACUCGCUCCCCCUCCCCUGCCUACAACCCCAGCACACGCUCCCUCCCCUGCCUAAAACCCAGACAAAAACUCCUACCUUUUUCCCUUCUAGGAAGUGGAUCUGAGUUCUAACUCCCAUCUCCUCAUCUGGCUGCCUUUCCAUAAUAAACCCUCUUUCCUUGCCACAAGCCUAGCAUUUCCAGUUUUUGGCCCUCCUGUGCAGUGGGUAAAUGAACCUGUGUUUGUGUUUGCUAACAAAGCCACCACUGGCACCACUGAUGCUGGGCAUGAACCUGCUAGAACCUCAGACCUAUUGCCUCUGAAAGCUCACAUUUCUCCACCCCACUCUACCAGCAUCUCCAGAAGAAACAUUUGUAUCCUUACAUUGCUAAAGUGGUCACACCACACACACCGCUGGAGUACCCACUGUCAUUGCCACCUCUUUCCAAGGUCUCUUCUCCAUUGUGGAGGAAAAGCUUGGAAUUACAUUUCCCAGAAACCCUUGUUAGAAUUUGCCAGUGAGAGGCAUUUGCCAAGAUUUGGGCUGCAAUAGAGAAGGUGAGAGUUGCAGUCAGAGGCAUGGGCCCACAUGAAAUACCCAGCAAGAUCCUGGAAAGUUCUUGUGAACCAGCAACUCUUUGAGACUGCAGACCAAAACAGUCGGUGGACUUUGUG